rnacentral:rRNA from 1 species
AUGGCAAGAAUCUGCAAAAUCAGCAAAAUAAUCUCUAUUCUCUCGCAUUACUACUCACAAACAACCAGUAGCACAAAUAAAUCUCUCACACAAUGUCUAAAAAGUAACGUCCCGCAAGCACACAUGCACAGCAGUAGCAAGCAUGGAGGGGUUUGUAUUAGAUUAAGUAUUUGCCUUACCUCUGUUAGCUCAUCCAUAUAUUUAUCAUGGUGGAUUCCCUGUCUUUUGAUCCGGACGGCAUCUAUGUCUCUCUCUCUCUCUCUCUCUCUGUGUGUGUGUGUGUGUGUGUGUGUGUACUUGAUCUUAUACUAUCAAGUUAGAGUCACACAUGAACCAAUGGCAGUGGCAUGUAUCUACUCUUAG